rnacentral:lncRNA from 1 species
AAAAAACUAUUUUAAAACCCAAACGGUACCGUUUUGGGUGCUUUAAAACCUUGAAAAUCUGAUAUAUCUCCAUCUUCUUCCAUUAUAGAGAAAGGGCAAAGUAGAAACAGUGAACGAAGAAUUAAAGUAAUUGGAUCAAACAACAUUAGAUAAUUACAAGCUUGCCACCGAUCCAUCAUUUACAGUAUUAAAAGUUUUAAAAAAAUGACAUCGGGUCGGGUCACGACUCAUGGUCCACCUCCGACUUUGGCACGAUAUAUCUUGCCAAAAACGUCGAGAGCGGCGACGAAGGCAAUGAAGCAAAGACUCAUGACUAGGACAACGGUAAGCCCAGAGCAUCGUCUGUGUAGAACCGAACCAUGUUGCUUCCGGAUCUAGAGUUGACGGAAGCCGAGGCGGAGGUGGCAGCGCCUCCCUUAUAUGACACUGCGGCGACGCAUUCCGGCCGUCGCGGCAGCCUUGCCUUCUAUUCUUCAACUUUGCCCCUAUAUUUUUAGGGUUUUAAAAGCACUCAAGUUUAUCAAAACAGUACCGUUUUGGGUUUUAAAAUAGUUUCUUUUAUAUAUUUUAAUUUUAAAAUGACGUGUAAAUU